rnacentral:rRNA from 1 species
CCUACGGGUGGCAGCAGUGAGGAAUAUUGGUCAAUGGGCGAGAGCCUGAACCAGCCAAGUCGCGUGAGGGAGUACUGCCCUAUGGGUUGUAAACCUCUUUUGUCGGGGAGCAAAAGCCGGACGUGUCCGGCUGUGAGAGUACCCGAAGAAAAAGCAUCGGCUAACUCCGUGCCAGCAGCCGCGGUAAUACGGAGGAUGCGAGCGUUAGCGGGAUUGAUUGGGGUAAAGGGGUGCGCAGGCGGAUUUUUAAGUCAGCGGUCAAAUCGUGGGGCUCACCCCCCUCCAGCCGUUGAAACUGGGGAUCUAGAGUGUGCGAGAGGUAUGCAGAAUGCGUGGUGUAGCGGUGAAAUGCUUAGAGAUCACGAAGAACCCCGAUUGCGAAGGCAGCUUACUAAACUGUGACUGACAUUGAUGCUCGAAAGUGUGGGUAUCAAACAGGAUUAGAUACCCUUGUAGUC